rnacentral:rRNA from 1 species
CGGGGGCCCGCACAAGCAGUGGAGUAUGUGGUUUAAUUCGACGCAACGCGAAGAACCUUACCAGGGCUUGACAUAUCCAGGAAUAUAUAAGAGAUUAUAUAGCUCUUCGGAGUCUGUAUACAGGUGGUGCAUGGUUGUCGUCAGCUCGUGUCGUGAGAUGUUGGGUUAAGUCCCGCAACGAGCGCAACCCCUGUUUCUAGUUACCAGCACGUGAAGGUGGGGACUCUAGAGAGACUGCCGGUGAUAAAUCGGAGGAAGGUGGGGACGACGUCAAAUCAUCAUGCCCUUUAUGUCCUGGGCUACACACGUACUACAAUGGCUAUAACAAAGAGAAGCGAGACCGAGAGGUGGAGCAAAACUCAAAAAAGUAGUCUCAGUUCGGAUUGAAGGCUGAAAUUCGCCUACAUGAAGCCGGAAUUGCUAGUAAUGGCAGGUCAGCAUACUGCCGUGAAUACGUUCCCGGGCCUUGUACACACCGCCCGUCACACCAUGAGAGUUGGGAAUACCCGAAGCCUGUGAGCUAACGCAAGAGGCAGCAGUCGAAGGUAGAAUCAAUGAUUGGGGUGAAGUCGUAACA